AGGGAGCGGAUCACUCCCGCUGAUGUCCUCAACCAUCCUUUCAUUACCAAGAGCUACAUACACAGCACCUCCCGCCUCAGCUCCUGUCCUCAGCCUGCUGCAGCUCUGGACGCCACCAGCAUCCACAUGGACAACACGGAGCUCCCUCCCAACACCUCUGAUGAAGAAGAAGAAGAAGAAGAAGAAGAAGAAGAAGAAGAAGAAGAAGAAG